CAGCCACAUCAGCCUGUGUAUCACGAAGCAGCAGCAGCAACGGUAUGGUGCACACGGUGGUGAUUCCAGUCGGUUCAGUACGAGUCAAGCAAGCAACCUGUUCGGACGGAAGUUUCUAGUGGUCAGCUAGUGCGAAACGGAUUGGAUAAGAAGUUUUCGGCUGAGUCAAGUGGAUAAUGAUGCAGGCUGAUUGGAAGUAAAAAGAAAGCAAAAAUCAGAACAAAUCAACUCAAGUCAGUCAGCGGCACAAGUGCAAUUAUCGUGUUCGGUUUUUGUCUAAUUGGACGAGAAGAAAAAUAAACGUUUAGUGAGUGAAAAGGCAAUACCCGUAGUGUUGCACCGAUCGAAAGGGAAAACCAAACAACCCAAAGAUGCAACGGUUUCAAGUGCAUGCGAAUCUUUUUACGGUAGCGAUAUCACUAGUCGCGUUCGGCAGCUUUUCCAGCGGAGUACAAUCCGUGGCCCUCGAAGGCACCGCCUACUACGGGCGACGCUACCAAGACGACAGCAACAACAACAAUCGGAUGAUCUACCCGGACGAAAAGGAACGCUACAACUUGUUCAGCAAGGAUGUGAAGCGCGAAGCCGACGAUUUCGAUGGUUGCUGUUGCGAUGACAUUCCUCUGGAGCUCGCAUUGCAGCUGGGCAACAUCACCUCCAGUGACGACGUAUUCAACCUGGUCGAAGCCGAUUCCAUCGAUCCUCGCAUUUUCUCCAAGGACGGAUUCGGCGAACGAUCGGCCGGCGAAGUACCGAAACCGGCCGGAUGUAACACCCAACCGACGAUUGUGAGUCUUCGACCGGAAAAUAACAGUGACCCACGACUGAUCUACAGCCCGUCAUGCACUCGCGUACAACGCUGCAGUGGUUGCUGCGUUUCCAAGCGACUCUCGUGUCAGCCUACUUCGACCCGCACGAGAACUUUCACCGUGAACGUGCUCGAGUACGUCAGUGGAGUUAAAACACGUUUCAAGAGCCGCGACUUGGCCCUGAUCGAGGAACACGUCGGCUGUGCCUGUCAGUGUCGCGUCAAGGAAGAACACUGCAACGGCCUGCAGCGGUACAAUGCCCGUAACUGUCGGUGCGAUUGCGUGAAUAACGAUGAUCGGUCCAAGUGUCUUCAGCAGCAGGAUAUCAAACAGUGGAAUCCGGACACCUGUCUGUGCGAAUGCAAUGACCCGAAAGAGUGCACCAGUGGAUCCUACUUUGACCACAACUACUGCAAAUGUCUACAGACCGACUUUUACAGCAUACAUUAACACCAUUGAUGCACGCCAAAAAGAACAAAUCAAUCGCACUAUUUUAGUAUUAUCAUACAUACGAUCACAGAUACAAGUCAUAACUAAUGGUUCAUUUAAUCCUGUGAACAAUAUUUAUUCGUGAUUGGUAGAAAUAAAAGGGAAGAAGAAGAAGAAGAAGAAAAACAUUUUACCUAUAGUCGUAUAGUAGAAGUGAGAGAUAAACACUCAUAAAUGGAUGUGCCAAAUCGAAUCAACAAACACCCUCCGAGCGAGGAUCUUCGGUAGUUACGAAACCGGCCAUGUAUGUUAGACUGGAUUUCCUAGGCUUAGUAGUACACACUGUGUGUAUUCCUGAUAACUGAUUUGUUUGCGUCUGUAUGUGCGUCUGUAUUUGCUUCAUUUCGCGAUUUCCACCCAGUGGGUUCCUACUCCAGCUACUCGGCCAGCCGCUACCGCAACCAGUCCACGCUCGAUCGCAGACGGUUAAUCCUGAAGCCCGUCUCAUCGCCGUAUUCCACCGCUUGAAGCCCCCUUUCUAGCUCGGGCAUUAUCCGUGAUUAUCGAGGACCGGAUGAUUCAAUCGUUUAACCCUUGGAAUGAUCGAAAACCUACAGAGACUGUGGUAGAACAGAACAGAAGCACGAACGCCGUGGUGUUGACAGUACAAAUGCGAAGAAGAUUGUGUAAAAAUAUUCAAAUCGAACGAAUGAAUUUUGCGAUGAAAAGUUCAUCGUAAAAGUGCGAACAAAAAUAUAAACGGGACAUUCCGAAUGGAGACGGUAGCAAGACUGUACGGUGAAAAGUGAGCAAUCGUUUUUGCUCGGGGUGGUUAUACUCUGGCAGAUGUUCUUUUAUGCGGCUGCAAAGCAGCUGGAGGGUUGACAAUUCUAUACCUAAGCGCGACAAAUGGAUGAGUGUUUGAUGGUUGUUUUGUUAUCAAAUUAGUUAUCAUGUACGGCUUGUUCCCAACUUUCAACAAGUUUAGUGUGCAACAAGCGAAAAAUAAUGUAUUCCUGUACUAAUUCGGGAUUUCAAUAAACAUUGUAAGAAAAA